CCAGAAGUAGAUAGGUAUAAUGAAAAAAUCUAAAAAACAAAUCACAUAUUUAUUAUUUAAAUACUUAUUUAUUUAUUUAAAAUUCAAAAAACAAUUGUUUGGCUUAAUAAAUAUUUAAAAUUAAAGAAAUCAUUUUCUUUUUCUAUUACAUUAUUAACAUAGACGAUUUUCUUGUUGCUUGAUACCCGCUUUUAUUGAAUCUGGUCGUCAUAUCAAGAAUAUUACCAUACGUAGUAGAAAGAAACAAAAUAUAGUACAUUUAGAUAAUAGUAUUAUACAUUAGAUUUAAUAACAAAAUUUCAAAUUUAAUUUUAAAAACAUACGUUUAUAAAACCACCACUAGUUAAUCCAAUUUAUUAUAUUUUUAUAAAUUAUUAAAAUUAAUGAUAAUUUAAAAUUACGAUAUUCAUGUUAAAUCAACGUCUUUUCCGUAUAAGAAAUAAGGGGUUAGGGUCUGAAGAAUCACCUAAUAACACCAAUGCCUAUAUCAAGUAUAAUACGUCGACAUAGGGUUUCGGUUAGAUUGGAUGAAACUAAUUAUUUAUUAUUGUCUAAUAUAUUUGAUAUUUAAAGAUAAUACCUUAUUAUUAUACUUAUACACCAUCAAAAAUCAUCAUCGUUAAUUUUUAUUUGUAAUUACAACAGUUAUAAAAUAAAUAUUAUAUUAUUUCAAUUCAUUCUAACCAAAUCGACUCGAUAACCUUAUUAUAUCUGUAAGUAUACAUUAGGAGGAGAGUGUGAUUUUUCAGAGCUAAGUCCCUUCGCCACAACUUCCCUGAUCCGAUGAAGAGAACGGCGAUUCAACAUUAAUAUCGUAUGGCCAAUGGCGGACGUUCUUAAAAGUUACAUCAGCUAUUUCAAACGUAGGAGUAUUAAAAAUAUAAAUAUUAUUUAUUUUUUCAAACCUUCUGGCCCGAAAAAUUGUGUGCCAUCCACCACUGAGUGUGGCCAUCGAUAUUUAACAGAUUCAAUCAGUAUAUUAUGCAUAUGAAUAUUUUCGGUAAUCGAUUUGAAAUCAGAUAUAUAAUCAUUGACAUUUUUUUUUAACUGUUCUAUGAAGUACCAGACACUCUU